UGGGGAAUAUUGCACAAUGGGGGAAACCCUGAUGCAGCCAUGCCGCGUGUGUGAAGAAGGCCUUCGGGUUGUAAAGCACUUUCAGUAGGGAGGAAAGGGUGCUGGCUAAUAUCCAGUAUCUGUGACGUUACCUACAGAAGAAGCACCGGCUAACUCCGUGCCAGCAGCCGCGGUAAUACGGAGGGUGCAAGCGUUAAUCGGAAUUACUGGGCGUAAAGCGCACGCAGGCGGUUAGAUAAGUCAGAUGUGAAAGCCCCGGGCUCAACCUGGGAACUGCAUUUGAAACUGUCUGGCUAGAGUCUUGUAGAGGGGGGUAGAAUUCCAGGUGUAGCGGUGAAAUGCGUAGAGAUCUGGAGGAAUACCGGUGGCGAAGGCGGCCCCCUGGACAAAGACUGACGCUCAGGUGCGAAAGCGUGGGGAGCAAACAGG
rnacentral:rRNA from 1 species